rnacentral:rRNA from 1 species
UACGGGGGGUGCGAGCGUUGUCCGGAAUCACUGGGCGUAAAGGGCGCGUAGGUGGCGUCGUAAGUCUGUGGUGAAAGCCCGGAGCUCAACUCCGGGUCUGCCGCGGAUACUGCGAGGCUUGAGUGCUGUAGAGGGGGGUAGAAUGCCGGGUGUAGCGGUGGAAUGCGUAGAGAUCCGGAAGAACACCGGUGGCGAAGGCGGCCUGCUGGGACAUGGCUGACGCUGAGGCGCGACAGCGUGGGGAGCAAACAGG